CCCUUAGAUGUUCUGGGCCGCACGCGCGCUACACUGAUGCAUUCAACAAGCCUAGCCUUGACCGAGAGGUCCGGGUAAUCUUUGAAACUGCAUCGUGAUGGGGCUAGAUUAUUGCAAUUAUUAAUCUUCAACGAGGAAUGCCUAGUAAGCGUGAUUCAUCAAAUCGCGUUGAUUACGUCCCUGCCCUUUGUACACACCGCCCGUCGCUCCUACCGAUUGAACGGUUUAGUGAGGGCCUCGGAUUGGUCUCGGCCCGCUCUUUACCGGGCGGCGCCGUUGGUCGAGAAGACGCUCGAACUUGAUCGUUUAGAGGAAGUAAAAGUCGUAACA
rnacentral:rRNA from 1 species